AUGCAAGUCGAACGAGUUCUGAUUAUUGAAAGGUGCUUGCAUCUUGAUUUAAUUUUGAACGAGUGGCGGACGGGUGAGUAACACGUGGGUAACCUGCCCUUAAGUGGGGGAUAACAUUUGGAAACAGAUGCUAAUACCGCAUAAAUCCAAGAACCGCAUGGUUCUUGGCUGAAAGAUGGCGUAAGCUAUCGCUUUUGGAUGGACCCGCGGCGUAUUAGCUAGUUGGUGAGGUAACGGCUCACCAAGGCAAUGAUACGUAGCCGAACUGAGAGGUUGAUCGGCCACAUUGGGACUGAGACACGGCCCAAACUCCUACGGGAGGCAGCAGUAGGGAAUCUUCCACAAUGGACGCAAGUCUGAUGGAGCAACGCCGCGUGAGUGAAGAAGGCUUUCGGGUCGUAAAACUCUGUUGUUGGAGAAGAAUGGUCGGCAGAGUAACUGUUGUCGGCGUGACGGUAUCCAACCAGAAAGCCACGGCUAACUACGUGCCAGCAGCCGCGGUAAUACGUAGGUGGCAAGCGUUAUCCGGAUUUAUUGGGCGUAAAGCGAGCGCAGGCGGUUUUUUAAGUCUGAUGUGAAAGCCCUCGGCUUAACCGAGGAAGUGCAUCGGAAACUGGGAAACUUGAGUGCAGAAGAGGACAGUGGAACUCCAUGUGUAGCGGUGAAAUGCGUAGAUAUAUGGAAGAACACCAGUGGCGAAGGCGGCUGUCUGGUCUGUAACUGACGCUGAGGCUCGAAAGCAUGGGUAGCGAACAGGAUUAGAUACCCUGGUAGUCCAUGCCGUAAACGAUGAAUGCUAGGUGUUGGAGGGUUUCCGCCCUUCAGUGCCGCAGCUAACGCAUUAAGCAUUCCGCCUGGGGAGUACGACCGCAAGGUUGAAACUCAAAGGAAUUGACGGGGGCCCGCACAAGCGGUGGAGCAUGUGGUUUAAUUCGAAGCAACGCGAAGAACCUUACCAGGUCUUGACAUCUUUUGAUCACCUGAGAGAUCAGGUUUCCCCUUCGGGGGCAAAAUGACAGGUGGUGCAUGGUUGUCGUCAGCUCGUGUCGUGAGAUGUUGGGUUAAGUCCCGCAACGAGCGCAACCCUUAUGACUAGUUGCCAGCAUUUAGUUGGGCACUCUAGUAAGACUGCCGGUGACAAACCGGAGGAAGGUGGGGAUGACGUCAAAUCAUCAUGCCCCUUAUGACCUGGGCUACACACGUGCUACAAUGGAUGGUACAACGAGUUGCGAGACCGCGAGGUCAAGCUAAUCUCUUAAAGCCAUUCUCAGUUCGGACUGUAGGCUGCAACUCGCCUACACGAAGUCGGAAUCGCUAGUAAUCGCGGAUCAGCACGCCGCGGUGAAUACGUUCCCGGGCCUUGUACACACCGCCCGUCACACCAUGAGAGUUUGUAACACCCGAAGCCGGUGGCGUAACCCUUUUAGGGAGCGAGCCGUCUAAGGUGGGACAAAUGAUUAGGGUGAAGUCGUACAAGGUACCCGUAGGAAA
rnacentral:rRNA from 1 species